rnacentral:rRNA from 1 species
AGCGUUAAAGCUUUAUUACUGAAACAUAUUAAUACCUUCACUCUUCCAAAACCCUUUACCACUACUGAAUGACUCUAUAUCUGUAUAGAGAACUAUAUGCUAGAACUAGUAACAAGAAGAUGAACUUCUCCAAAAUAUAAGUGUACGCCGAGAUGAACUACUCAACGGCAUUUAUCGCUAAUGAAUUUAAAGUAGUAACCAAACAAGAAAACCCUACUCGAACCAGCGUUAACCUUACACUAGUGUAUUUCUGGAAAGAUUAAAAGAUGAGGAAGGAACUCGGCAAAUUAUUGACCCCGCCUGUUUACCAAAAACAUCGCCUCCUGAAAACCAUAGGAGGUCCAGCCUGCCCAGUGACAAAGUUAAACGGCCGCGGUACCCUAACCGUGCGAAGGUAGCGCAAUCACUUGUUCUUUAAAUGAGGACUAGUAUGAAUGGCAUCACGAGGGUUGCACUGUCUCCCCCAUCCAAUCAGUGAAACUGAUCUCCCCGUGAAGAAGCGGGGAUAAAACUAUAAGACGAGAAGACCCCAUGGAGCUUUAAACUCAGUAUCAACUGCUUUAUAGUAAACCUAAGUAACCUAACAGAAAUGACUACUAGUUUUCGGUUGGGGUGACCGCGGAGCAAAACACAACCUCCACGAUGAAUGGGCCUCCUACCCUUAUCCUAGAGCUACUACUCUAAGAAUCAAAAAAUUGACAAAAAUUGAUCCAAGUAUUCUUGAUCAACGAACCAAGUUACCCUGGGGAUAACAGCGCAAUCCAUUUCAAGAGCUCCUAUCGACAAAUGGGUUUACGACCUCGAUGUUGGAUCAGGGUAUCCCAGUGGUGCAGCCGCUACUAAAGGUUCGUUUGUUCAACGAUUAAAACCUAC